GACGAACGCUGGCGGCGUGCUUAACACAUGCAAGUCGAACGGAAAGGCCCCCAUCUUGGUGGGGGUGCUCGAGUGGCGAACGGGUGAGUAACACGUGGGUGAUCUGCCCUGUACUUCGGGAUAAGCUUGGGAAACUGGGUCUAAUACCGGAUAGGACCAUGGUUUAGUGUCUCAUGGUGGAAAGAUUAUUGUUUUGGUGCAGGAUGAGCUCGCGGCCUAUCAGCUUGUUGGUGGGGUAAUGGCCUACCAAGGCGUCGACGGGUAGCCGGCCUGAGAGGGUGGACGGCCACAUUGGGACUGAGAUACGGCCCAGACUCCUACGGGAGGCAGCGGUGGGGAAUAUUGCACAAUGGGCGCAAGCCUGAUGCAGCGACGCCGCGUGGGGGAUGACGGCCUUCGGGUUGUAAACUCCUUUCGUUAGGGACGAAGCCGCACUUUUUUUGGGUGUGGUGACGGUACCUUUGUUAAGAAGCACCGGCUAACUACGUG
rnacentral:rRNA from 1 species